GGUUCGGAUGGGCAGUGGUUUGAGUGUUGGACUCUAACUCUGGAGACCAGGGUUCGAAUCCCAGCUCACUG